rnacentral:misc_RNA from 1 species
UAGCUUCAUGGUUGGUCAAGCUCUUACUUCUGCGAGGUUAUACAGUUAAAGCCACUGUUCGUGAUCCAAAGGAUCCUAAGAAAACGGAACACUUGCUUGCUCUUGAUGGAGCCAAAGAAAGGCUUCACUUGUUCAAAGCAAAUUUAGUGGAAGAGGGAUCUUUUGAUGGAAUUAUUGAUGGUUGUAGUGGUGUAUUUCACACAGCUUCACCUGUGAUUCUUUCAACGAGUAACCCUGAGGCAGCUUUGCUUGAACCAGCAGUGAAGGGAACGCUGAAUGUUCUUAAGUCAUGUGCAAAAGUUCCUUCUAUCAAAAGAGUGGUUAUAACAUCUUCUAUGACAACAGUAAUGUUCAAUGGAAAACCUCUCAGCCCUGAUGUGGUUGUUGAUGAGACCUGGUUUUCCGAUAGAGCUUUUUGUGAGGAAAAGAAGAUUUGGUAUGCUGUUUCAAAAACCUUAGCUGAGGAUGUUGCUUGGAAAUUUGCAAAAGAAAAUGGAA